AAACAUCGCCUCCUGCAACAUAAAAGUAUAGGAGGUCUUGCCUGCCCAGUGAACAACUUAAACGGCCGCGGUAUUUUGACCGUGCGAAGGUAGCGCAAUCACUUGUCUUUUAAAUAGAGACCUGUAUGAAUGGUAGAACGAGGGCUUAACUGUCUCCCCUCUCUAGUCAAUGAAAUUGAUCUGCCCGUGCAGAAGCGGGCAUAAGACCACAAGACGAGAAGACCCUUUGGAGCUUAAGACUAUAAAUCACCUAUGUUAAAAACCAAUUAAACCAGUUAAACAAAGUAGUGCCUGAUUUUAAUCUUCGGUUGGGGCGACCAUGGGGGAAAACAAAGCCCCCACGCGGACCGGAACUCAUAAUUCUAUAACCGAGAAAGACAUUUCCAAGUAUCAAAACAUUUGACCACCACGAUCCAGUCAAACACUGAUCAACGAACCAAGUUACCCAAGGGAUAACAGCGCAAUCCUUUUCAAGAGCCCAUAUCGACAAAAGGGUUUACGACCUCGAUGUUGGAUCAGGACAUCCUAAUGGUGCAGCCGCUAUUAAGGGUUCGUUUGUUCAACGAUUAAAGUCCUACGUGAU
rnacentral:rRNA from 1 species